GAGAGAACACGGGUGGCUCACUGUGCAGUGGGGAGGGGGCAGGUGGAUGGGGCCCAGGGCUCAGGCCACUCUGGGCCACGUGGCUCACAGCUCACCUGCAGUCAGUCAGGCCCUGCCAUUCCUUCUCUGCAGGAGGGCAUCAUCCCUGUGAUAUCUCCUUAUCAGCUGAAGCCCACAGUGUGCAGUUGGGGUCACUCCUGUGUGUACUGUCAGAGGGUUGUGCCCAGGCCUCAUGUCUUUCUCCCCAGGACUCUGUCACUCAGAACACUUUCACUCCCUAAAACCACCUGUCUCAACCUCACCUCCUUCCCUGAACUCUCAAUCUCUUGUGUUCGCUGGCUCUGUUUGAUUGGAUAUUAAUGUGCACGUCGUGGUCACAAUAGAAAGGUGUGGUUUCUGUUCCCUCUCCCUCCUGGCCUUCUCCUUCAAACCCACCCAGCUCCAACAGACUUCAGAGUCAGACUCCCCCCAGAUCAUCAGCCUUGUCAUGAAGUUGCCAAGGACAAACCCAAACAAGGGAGGAGGAAGACAUUGUUCACACCCUUGGAGUAAGAGGCUUGGGCUCCAGUGACAGGUGGCAGCAAUCCACAGCUGGUUUCAGAGGAUAAACAGCGCUAAUCUUGCCUCUAAUCUCAGCUGAUCGGCCACGAGCUCCGUGAGACAAGGAAGGGAAGUCAGGUCUGUGUCUGCCCUGUGAUGAAGGGAAGGCUGGCCUCAAGCCCAUUCAGCCAAAGGAGAAGUUGGCUUCGUCCCAGGGACUGAAGAUCACAGUGAAUCAUGAGGAUGUGGAGAGCGCGCCUCACCGCUGCACGGGCAGGGUGGGACAGGAUCUACAACCCUUGCUGUGUCUGAGACUAUAGGGCCCAGAUCCAGCUCAACACAGGCAAAUCGCAGAAGGGAGACACCCCCCCCCCACACACACACACAUGCAGCAUGUGGGUCUUUGUGCUGCUUGACCUGUCUACUUUGGAUCAGUACAAAACUGAAAACCAGGAGAUUUUGUAUCAGAAUUCAUGGUCUAUGGCCCCUGGCACUCCUGUACCCCUCCAUGUGAGACCCCCGUUGGUACAGCUGCGCUGUGCUGGUCCUAGAGAGGUGGCUUAGAGUCCUCAAGGUGAAGUCCCCUGCUCACUCUGCGAGCAGAGCACUGCAAUAUUGGGGACCCACUUACUCCUUGUCCAAUUCCUAAGGACACUGGUGAAGUGAGCCACCUGUAGAUGGUGACAGAAAGAAUGCAAUGGAAACACAAAACUACUAGCUGGCUGCAUGCUUGCCUGCUCUACCAUUUCAUAAAGGAGACCAAGCUCCAAGGUGACUGCCCAUGCCCAGAGUGUCUGCUCAAUGUGGGCAAAGAGCCCAGGAGACAUGGGAUGGGCAGCCCCUGAGACACCCUGAACCAUUGUUUCCUCCAGCUCCAGAACCUGGUGUCAGCACCUUUAUGCUCCCCAUUUCUUCAGAUGGAAUAUUUCCCAAUACUCCCACCUGCCUCUUUACCUAUGUUAAUAUCAGCUAAAUGUACCCUCUUGCUGUGAACCCUUAUCAUGACACCCCAUCCACUGUGGAAAUGUCUGCAGAGCCAAAGGACACAGGCAGUAAUAUCUUGCUUCCUACUGACUUGCCCUCAGGGGGUUGUGAGCUCCAUGUGGCCAUAGGACACUUUGGCUUUUCCCACUGCUGCUCCCCCAAAUCUAGAACAGAGCUGAAGACUUCUCCGAAGCUCCACAACCUUCUAUUGUGCAAAUGAGGCUGUGAACACAAAUCUACUCUAGAUGGAGGCGUCAGUCCUACUUUCUGCAAGGUGUUGGCCCUUGUCUUGUCUGCAGGUGCUGUCCAGGAGGCUCUCUGCUCUGGGCUCACACCCCAGGCCCAGUGCUCAUCAGGAAGUGGAUGGUGGGUGGGGUAAGGGGUAGGGUAGGUCCCAGGUUCCCUGUCAGCUCCUCACUGGCUCCUCCCUCUCCCCCAGACCACCCCUCACUGCUGCUGCCUGGGGGCCUCAGCCUCCCUGCUCUGCUCCAUUAUCCCGCACAGUUCUGCCCCUGCCCCACCCCAGCUCUUCAUCUGCAAUCCUGUGUGGUGCAGCAGCAGCUCUCCUGCUCUCGGGUACAUACUAGGAAAGUGUGGGGAAAAGUGUGUGUGCACUUCUCCCUGUUCUAAAUAUUGUUUUCGAAAUGCACAGUUUUUAGUUUCAUAGUUUCAUGGGCUUGAGCGGGAGGGGGUGGUGUUUACAUGUCUUACCAUUUCAUUGUUUUUGAACACCAGUCAAGUUCCCAUAAGUUAUACAAACAGAUCUCUAGUGCUGGUUUACAGUGUAGACAAUCGAGUGUGGUUAAUGCCUCUCUCGUCAAGCAACACUGUUGGAGGAAGAGAGAAUUUAUCAAAAUUUGCGUAGAGAACUUAAACUAUGUAGUGGUAGAGGGUCCCAACCUAGAAGUUCUGUAUUCAUAGGAUUAUAGUAAACAAUUUUUAAUUUAAAAUCCAAUCUUAAAACUAUCAAACUACAAUAGGAACUAUGAGGCAUCAAGAGGGGAUUCAAAGUGAGCGAAGACAGUUUAUAGGAGCCUGGGUAGAUGGAGUAUCAGUAGCUGGUGUGGGGGUGGCCAAACCUGAGGGGACCUCAUCCCCAGGCCCCACUACAGCUGGGCCCAGGAAAGCCCCUGAAAGUGCGGGGCCUCUAGUGGGGAGCCCAAGGAGCACCAGGUUCACAGGUGGAAAGACAGAAUUUGGCCUCCCAUGUCUCCAGCUCCUCCCUGAGGCAUCCAUUGCUCAUUUUGAGUGCCUGGAGCUCCUUUUUGGACACACCAGCCUCCUGGCUCUCCUGGGCCCUCUUCUCCCAGCGGCAGAGCUCUCUCAGGUGGCAGGCAGAGGCUCUCUCCAGCGCUGUGCUCUGGGUGUGGGUGAUCUUCUUGUACAUGCCCCGAACCUGAAGGGAGGAGUCGAGGCCCUGGCAGGCGCUGAGCAGCUUCUUUAGGAUGGUCAGGUGCUGCUCCUCCUCCUCAGCUCUCCUGCUCUCCAGCGCCAGGACUCGUUGUUGGUAUGACUCCAGCUCCUCCUGAAACUGCACCUGCAGCCUCUGGAUCUGCUCGUCGAGCUGGCUGUUCAUUGCUUGCAGAUGAGCCUUCUGGUUUUUGAGACCCAGGAUUCCCAGAGCCAGCUUCACUGUGGCCAGGUCGACAGGUGGUACUUUGGGAGGAGUGGGCUCCAUGUCUGGUUCCUGGAGGGCUUCAGGGAAGGCUGUCUCCUGGCUGGUUUUCUUUGGGCCUUGCGCAGGGCACUUGUCAGAAGAGGGUUGAAUUCCCCAAGGUCUUUGCCCUCUGCUCAAAACCUGCCUGAUCUUUAAUGUCAAGCCCAGCAGAGCAAAAUAAAAGAGUAACUGCCAGGCAGCUUCCAGGACUCCUGGCACCUGUGUCAUAUAGUCAAGUAGCACCAGCAGGGCAGCCCACAGCUGCAGCAGGGCACACAUCACUAUGACUGGUCUCAGGCUAUCAGUGCUUGGUCACCGACUGCCAGUGUCCUGUGGGUCUCACGGACCACACAGAAAAAAGUGGAAGAUUCUGUCUUCAAAACAAAGAGCUGGGCCUCCCCGGUGGCGCAGCGGUUGAGCGCUGGGUUGCGAAGCUGCCAGCAGCCUCUGCAGCGCCAGUUCGAUCCCCGGCU